rnacentral:rRNA from 1 species
CACGUAGGCACCAAGCGUUGUCCGGAUUUAUUGGGCGUAAAGAGCUCGUAGGCGGUUCGGUAAGUCGGGUGUGAAAACUCUGGGCUCAACCCCAGAGCCGCCACCCGAUACUGCUGUGACUUGAGUGCGGUAGGGGAGCGGGGAAUUCCUGGUGUAGCGGUGAAAUGCGCAGAUAUCAGGAGGAACACCGGUGGCGAAGGCGGGUCUCUGGGCCGAUACUGACGCUGAGGAGCGAAAGCGUGGGGAGCGAACAGG